rnacentral:sRNA from 1 species
AUGACGACCCGAACUUCCCGUGUAUGAUUGAACCCCUGCGGGUAAUCCGCUGAGGGUUCAUUUUUAU